UUGGAGCUAUCUGUACCAGCCACUAGUACAGUUCAGGCCUUAGCUAUCAGAGGGAGCGCACACAAAGAGCAGGAGAUGAGGAAGAGGACAAGAUGACACAGGAGAGGUGACUGAUGCCCGGUGAGAAAGUAAACGUGACAUAUACCCUCGUCAGCUGCAAGAAAGGAACCAGGAGACAGGUGACUGAUGCCUGGUGAAAAAGUGACCGUGACAUAUACACUCGUCAGCUGCAAGAAAGGAACCACGAGACAGGUGACUGAUGCCCCGUGAGAAGGUGAACGUGACAUAUACACUCGUCAGCUGCAAGAAUGGAACCACGAGACAGGUGACUGAUGCCGGUGAGAAGGUGACCCUUGUCAGCUGCAAGAAAGGAACCACGAGACAGAAAAAAUAAAAUGACAAACUGUACCACUGGGAACUAACGAUGGAAACUGUCACUCAAUUCAGCAGGCUUGCUACAUGUCAUGAUCGGAGGAGUUGAUGGGAAACUUGUUGAUGUUAAUCCAAGGGUUUGGAAAUUCCAAGUAAUAUUGUGUUUUAUGCCCCUAUGGAAAAAGAAAUACAGAUUACAGCUGAGCGCUAGGGUUCCCAGCAGAGGGACACUUUGUGGACUACUUACUGUCAAAAACCCUGUCUAACAAGUAUGGAUUGCCCAGAGCAGACACCACAUGAAAAGCCAAUAAGAGUCAUCAAUUUAAUCCGGACUCCAUGCUUAUUAUAAUACACCACAUUAGAUUACGGUCCUCUGCUGCUUCAACAGAUCAAGAGAGGAACAGAAGCUGAUAGCUCCACAGUACAGAGAACGCUCCAGUUUUGGCUUCCUCUCAAUGAGACAAGAAAAUCCUGAAACGUAAUAAUGGGAAGCGCUGAAGACCUCUCGGCUGGAACCUGGAGAAACUGAUUUACUAGACUGUCCCAACUUUCAGCCUGUUGCUCGUGAGGUUCCUGAUUCUGCAGAUAUGUUGAAAUAUUGUGUAAAAAUUGAAAGAGACAAUUUUUUUUUACUUUGUAUUUUGGAGAAUUAAUGAACAAUGGAGCUUGUUCUGGUGUAGUCCACAGUGACUCAAACCUAAGUGCCAUUUUAUCCAGUAAAGUUUGUAUAUCCACAGAAUUUAAUUUUGUCUUCCGGUUAGACACAACGGAAAGAGGAGGCCUUGAUUUCAAUUACCAGAUAGAAAGGAUCUUUUCCAAAUUGCUCUGUUCUUAUACUUGGCUCUCUGCAUUAGUCAAGAAGACAAAUAUACUUAAUAUCAUCCACAUCAUAAAUAUUAUUUACUAAAAACAUAUACACAUACUGUACAUAUGCAUAAGCAACAGUUUGUCAAGAGAUUGUGAAUAUGCUAGGCGUUCACAGGCUUCUUUCACACUGCCAUUAGGACAUAGCAGUGUGACGGCCGUUGGGGUAGUCGGGGAGAAUAGUGGGAGGAACAAUACUGCUUGCGCUGUCUUUUUCUCCCGCUACCAUAUAACGGCGCCUGACGGCCCGGACCCUAUUAUAGUAAAUGGGAUCCACCAGGACCCAUUAUUGCUCAUUGUGCCUCGUCCCGAUAACAGCAAUUAAAGGCUGAAAAAAGAAGGAAAAAAAAGAGCCUAACGGCCGUUUAAGGACAGGACACAAUGGCUAUGUGAAAGUAGCCUAAGAGUGUAGCCACACAUGUCGCAUAAGCUAACAGUUAACAGUACAAGGAAUGUGGAUGAGACAUAAAGAAACCUCAUUCACACCCUGCGAAAAGAAUCCACACAAGUUUUGCAUGGAUAAUGACUUGCAAGGUGGAUGGAAAGGUAAUAAAAAAAACACAACAAAAUGUUGCAGAUUUUGAUGCAGAAACACAUGGGCCCAUAUUUACUAUUCCUACCGCUACAGCUUAGUGACAGCUUUUGUGACACAAUUGUGUACCAAAAGCUCAGUGUACCAAAAUUCAUGUAAAUUAUGAAAUGUUUUUAAAAGAAACCUUAACAACCCCACAAAUUGCAUUUU